AUAGGUGGCUGUGGAGAGUAGGAGGUGGGGAGCUGAAAACUGGUAGGGGAGGGGGUUCUUGAAACUUAACCUUCAUCAAAUAUUGUACUAACAGGGAAGUUAAGGCAGGAAGUGUUGGUUUGUGGUUAAGCACAUGGGGCAGGGGUUGCUCUUAAGAGGAGCAAACAAAUUCAAGUGCAGAAAAUUUACAUGGGAUUGAGGGCUUUGUGGUCCCGAAGUUGUGUCAAGCUCAAAGUUUGAUUAACCUCGUCAGCACUUAAAAUUGUUUUUGAGAUUUUGCAAAGGGUUCCCACUAAGAUUUGUUUUUUCACCUUGUAAAAAAAGAAAUGUUGGGGAUAAUUAGGGUUAUUGAUAGGUUACUAAUGUGGUUACGUGGGAAAUACUCUCGAAUCAGAAGAAAUGCUUAGACCUCCCUAGGUUAAAUAUGUUUGGGUAAAACAUUAUUAGUGUAAAUAUUUAAACAAUUGUAUCCUGUAUGGGAAAGUUCUAGACAAUGAUCAGUGUUUUUGCUGACCAUGAUACGUUUCUGUGUAUCAGAGUUUUAGUGUUGCUUUGCCUGUAAAACAAAAGCAGUAUUAUAUUAGCAGUCAUAAUUUUAGUUAUUUUUAAAAACAUUAAGUUGGUUGCAACUUUACAUCUUUAAUGUGAAUUCAGUGUAUUUCCUGGCUAGUUUUCUACUGGGGAUUGACAUCAUUUAUCUAUAAAGUUUUAUUUAAUCUACUACUGAUGUUUAAAAGCCUACUUCAGAUGUAUUAAAUCUAUUUACUUGAUAGUCUUGACAUAUUCUUGAUAUAUUCUAACUUUGUACUAGGUUUACAUCUAACAUUUCAGGAUUUUUAUGUUAUACCUGAAAAUGUUUUCUCUGUGAAGAUUAUGUUUAUGUGUUUUCAUAAAUUAAAUGCAAUCUCUUCUUUGAAAAUAGGCAUGAAUCUUUGUGUUUGAACAUGUUUUGUCAAAACCUUUUUUGGAUUGACUUUAUUUUGUUCUCUGUGCCAUGGACGCAACCAGAUAUGCUUGUUGAUUGCAUGAUUAUUGUAAUGAACUCUCUUCAGAUCAUUCGCUUUUGAAAAUAUCAGUAGGAAGUAAAUAAUAGACCUUCUAGUCUUUUGUCAUCUACAGACAGUUUGUAUGCUUUGUUUUACUCCUGAGGCUUCCAUGAAAAUACCUGGAAUCAGCUGGAAGGCAGAGUGUUCCAUUUUUAACAAAGGAUUGUCUUAAGAGCCUGGAGACUCUGCCAGAUACGCUUGGGUGCAGGCUUCUGAUGGCAUUGUUUAACCGUGAGAUCAUACCAGUGGACUGAGUCAGGAGUUCCAGACAUCCAAUCAAGAGGUAGAUGUGUUCCUGAGACUACUAACCCUGGAUCAAGUGGAACCAGAAUUAUUACAUAGGACUGAAUGAACUGAUCAUUCAUGAUGAUGGGCUUUGUUUGGAACAGCGCUGAUGCUCUCGUGUUCUAUUUUCUGGAUGUAAGGAUGCACUUUCUCUCUUCUCUCAAGCUAUCUAGCACUCACAACAAUUUAGUAGACUGUGCGCUUGUGAAACAGAAGGGAAACAUCCCUCUUCUCUGCCCUGCCUCACCCUUCCAGAUUCCGGGAAGUCUCGUGGAGUAUUUCUGUUUUCGUGGCACUGUAGUUAUUUGCAUAGAUGCAGUAAGAGCCCGUCCAGCUUGUUAACAGGACAUAAUUGGAAGCAUUGGCUAAUCGAGGCUGGCUCUGCCUCUGAUGUCACAGUUGAGAACGAUGCUCGUUUCAUCAGAUGUGACCAGACCCUUUUCAGCAAUUAAGGUUGACACGAUGGGCCGAUGCUUACAAAGUCCCUCUUGGGAAAACCGGCCCGGCAACCGGCUUGAUAGGGUCCCCAGCCUUAUAGGUGAGCAAGGAAGGUCACUUCCUGGCAGGCUCAGGAAUCCUAGGCUAUUUUGAGGACCUCAGGAAGAGAGGAAUGCCCACCAGAUCACUAGGUACUGCAGGUGGAAAAUGAUGGUGAAGUUUUGGCUUGGCUUCCUAGCCUCGAGAGGCUCUGAAAAGUCCGAUCUGAGAUUCUUUCUGAAAGCGUCCAGAGAAGCCAGUAUAAGACCUACGUGGUACCACGUCGUUCUUGCUGCAUCUAUGUAAAUAACCAGGCCACCUCCAGUGAGACCAGCCUUAUUUUGUGACCAAGAGUAAUCUUUCUUUGAGAUUGUCUCUGAUCAAGAGGGGAAAGGGACUGUAGAGAGCUUUUGGUGUUUCAAUGGGAAACUAUAGCAUGCUCUUUUGGAUUACCGGAUUCUGACCCUAUUCAUUGCCUUUGAGCUAUUUUGCACCUCUGUAAACUGCAGAUCUGUCUGGAAACUUUGUUUUGUCUGGUAGCUAAGCUUUCUGUUUCCCUGUGCAAAAACCGGUUUGAUGUUUACUUCUAAAUUGCUCUGUGUUUUCUCACCUUGCACAACUUGUCAACCCUUAACCAGAUUUUCAGUUCCUACAGUUUCCUUCAAUAUUUGGCUAUAAACUAAUCUUAGCCUCAAAAUAAACUUUCCAAUUUUUCUGCCUCCUUCUUGACUUGAAGUCAUGAGAACUGCAAACCGAUUGCCAGGUUUUUAUUGGGACUCUGAAAUUGCCUUUGCUGGUCUUUGCCUCCAAAAUCUGAAGAAAUCACUGCAAGCUGAAGCCUAAGGACUUUUUAUAAGACUGGAAGGACUCAUCAUCCCACCUGAUCAUUCAUGGUCCAGCUCUUUCCAUGCAUAGGCCACUGCUUGCACUACCAAGCAAGUGUGGCGAAAUACUCGAGCCAUCCAUCCUUACUGGAGAAGAACCAAUGCUGUGGACAUCACCACCAAUACAAUUGGCAUCUCAGCUUCAAAAAACUCAGUGAGUGUUUUCUUGGAAGUUCCACCAAAAUACAGUUGGCACUGACCAUCACCGUGGCCUCCAGUCUUAGACCGGGCACCCAGAACCUGUUGUGCCUCACUGCUCACUGCUCAUCAAGUCCACAACGAUGUGGAUAUUUUGUCUGUUGGAAGAAACAUCAGAGGAAAUCUGCUGCCUUUGAUCUCAAUGGAAGGAACUUUAUCAGAUGAUCCCAAUGAUGACAAAACAACUGAAAGGUCAGGAAGAUCUCGCAUACAGUUGACUAUGGAGGUGACUAACAAUCUCUGAGCAGCGCAGAUCUGGAUCACUAGCUUUCUCUGAAUUGGCCAACUUCUUGCAAGUAACCCUGUUUAAGAUGUCUGGACUUCAAGAUUCUAAAACAAUUGACCUUUGCUAUAACCUCUCAACACAUGGUCCAGCUUAUUUUAGAGGAACAACACCAACAAAAGUCCUAGACAGAUCCUGCUUUGUCUCACUCAGGAGCUUUAUGCUGGUCUUUUACUUGCUUAGGUUAGUUUAUUAUAUUCAUUCUUAUUGAACAAAAGGAGGGUUUGACAAUGUCAGCUCUGUAUUUAUCUGAGCUCUGUAUUCCUGGAAAACAUUGAUGGUUAAUAAAUCCCCCAUCUUUUGUGUUCAGUUUCUUACUGAAAA